CUUCCUCACGAACCGGCUUCGCUUCCCGCACCGCCGCCGCCUCAAGCCCGGCCGCGCAUCCCCGGCGGGACCCUCGGAGCGCACUUUUUUUGCGUCCCUUCUUUUCCUUUUCCUUUCGCGGUGGAGGUCGGAAGGAGAAGAAAAAAAAAAACUUUUAAAAAAUUAACCCCCGGGAUUCUGUCGGAAAUGGAGCUCUUUGCUCUUGUUUUUUUAUAAUUAUUUUAUUUUUUAUUUUAAUUUUUAAAUAUUUUUUUUAAAUUUAAAAAAAAAAACCCAACUGACAAAAUGGCGGCGGGGGCGAGCCUGUUGCCAUGGCAACUGUCAAUCACCCGCGGCCGGGCGGGAGACGGCGCUGACGUGGGGAGGCAAGGGCGGGCCGCGCUCGCCAUGGCAACGGCUCCUUCCCCCUCCUUCCCCAUCCGUGCCCGCCCGCCCUCCGGCGUGUGACGGUGUCGGCGGCGCUGCGGGCCGGGAUGGCCCCGGCGGGGCGGGGAAGGGGAGCGGCCGCCAUUCCCGGUGAAGGGGGGAGCCGGGGGCUGAGGCGGCGGCGGCCCCGGCCCGCAGGGGGCGCCGGGAGCGCGAGGCCGAGCCCGCCGGGGCUUCCCGCCCGCCGCCGCCUGUGGGGAGGGACAGGGCCGGGCACGGCCCCUCGGAACCCGAGACGUUCGCGAAAAAGCGUUCAAAAAACGCACUGCGAGGAGCCCGCAGUGACUGGAGCCGCUGAGGGAAGGCUCCUCUUCCUUCCCCUCCUCUCGGCAUUGCGUUCACGGGUCUUUCUCGGCCUGCUUAAAAAUAUCAUCCUCAAAAAACGAGUUGGAAAAUGUGCUAAAAGUCGUCCGGUGUGGGAGCCCCGGCGUGCUGGGGGAGUCACAGGAGUCCAGUCUUUCUUUCCCCUCAGAAUUGCAUCCAGGGUUUUUUUCUCAUCACCUCGGGAAAUCUGUAUUCCCCAAGAACAAAUUUUAAAAACCCAUUAAAAGUCACCCGGUGUGGGAGCCUUGAGCUGCUGAGGGUAGGCUCCUUUCCGCUUGGAAUUCUGUUCGGGUUUUUUUCUAAUUCUCAGCAGGAAAAAAAAAUACAUUCCCCCAGAAGUGAGUUCGGUGUGGGAGCCUCAAGCUGCUGAGGCAAAGCUUCUUUCCCCUCAGAAUUGCAUCCAGGGGGUCUUUCUCACCCCACUCUGAAAAUCAAUAUAUUCCCCCAAAAAUGGGUUUAAAAAUGCACUGAAAAGUAGCUUGGUGUGGGAGCCUUGAGGUGCUGAGGGAAUCACAGAAUAAAAGGCUCUUUUCCUCUUGGAAUUGCAUGCAGGGGCCUUCUUCAUUCCCCCCAAAAAAUCAAUAUAUUUCCCAAAAAUUAGUUAAAAUAUGCACUAUAAGUAGCCUGGUGUGGGAGCCUCGAGCUGCUGAUGGAAGGCUCCUUUACCCUUGGUGCUUCCAGCCUAAAUCUGUGACAGGGGGUUUUUAAUGGUUUGGCUUUUUUUUUCUUUUUUUUUUUUCAGUUGGAAUGCCCACAAAGAUCAAAAAGUAGAGUCUGGCCUUUAUCUAAUACUUUAAUUCUGACGUGUGAUACUUUAAUCUAGUCAUUUCAGUUCCCAGCCAGCCUCCUUGGAGAAAUUAGGACAUGUUACUUGUUCCAUUUGCUUCCUGUUUUAAUAUUUUUUUAUCUUGGCUUAAAAGGUGGAAAUAAGCAGCCAAGGAUUGGCAGACAGAUGCAGCCACAGCCAAAGCCCCCCAAAUAAUUGAAGUGUUGAGAAUUUUACUUAAAUUGUGUGAUCCCAGAAUCCCAGAAUGGGUUGGGGUGGAAAAGACCUUAAAGCCCAUCCAGUGCCAGCCCUGCCAUGGCAGGGACACCUUCCACUGUGCCAGGCUGCUCCAGCCCCAGUGUCCAGCCUGGCCUUGGGCACUGCCAGGGAUCCAGGGGCAGCCACAGCUGCUCUGGGCACCUUCCCAGGGAAGGAUUUCUCCCUGAUAUCCCACCUAAACCUCUCUUUUUCAGCUUAUGGCCAUUCCUGUUUGUCUUGUCAUCCCAGUCCCCUGUGAAAAGUCCCUCUCCAGGGACAGGGGUGCACAGGGGAGAGGAGGGGAAUUGAGGGACCAGCCCAGGAGUGACAGUGAGGUGUUAGUCAGGAAGAACAGCUCCACUCUGGGAGAGGAGCAGGAGAGGCAUUCCCUGAGGAUUCUUUCCCCUCCAAAAUCUCCCUCUGGUCUGUGUGAGUGCAGUGACAGAACAGUUUCUCUGUGGCUCAGGGUAGGUAACUACAAAGCUCACAGAAAUUUGUUACUCUGUUCACUGCAUUACUGUCACUUCCUGGGGUUUGGGGUUUUUGUCAGGUUUUGAGGGGUUUUUUUGCUAACACUUAAAAAUAUUACAGAGUUUUACAGAGUGCAGUUGCUCACUCAUCCUCUGCAUUUAUUUUGCUGGCUAUACCCAAGCUCUGGCACCUUGGGCAGAAAUAAAAUGUCCUUUAAAAGGUGAUGGCAUCUUUUUAAAAUGUUAUUUUCCAGCACAAAGAACUAGAUCUUUUGGGCUUGUUAAUUUUAUUUGGAUAAUGAAUAACCUGCAUGGUUUUUCCCUUUUGUACAAAAGUGUUCUCUUCAAUAUCCAUUUCAUUAAAAAUCCAGGGGAGGUUCAGGUUGGGCAUCAGGAGGAAUUUCUUCCUGGAAAGGGUUGUCAGGAACUGAAUUUGUGUUCCCUGCUGGAGGUUUGGGGCUUGGGUUAGGGAUCCUCCAGGCUGGGAUUCCACCAGAAUCCUGCCUCACCUGGAAACUUUGCACACAAGUUGUGACCUGGAUGAAGGGAGUCCAGGUUCUUGCUUAUCAAAAAUUAUAAAAUCAUACUUCUUUUUUAUUUUCUUUAGGAGGGGAGGGACUGCCAAGACAGGAGAGUCCUUUUUUUUUUUAAUACUCUCCAUCACAAACUACCUGGAGCAGGUUUGCAGUGCUUGAAAACAGGAGGUUGUGUACAUUCUGCAUUAAUUAAUGGUCAGGCUCAUAAGAAAUACUUGGGUUUCUCUUCCAAAGAAACCACCCCUCAGAAAGCAGAAUACUUGGGACCAAAAAAACAAUAAUAAGCAGAAAAACCAAGAAAAAAGAAAAAACAAGAAAAAAGCACGUUAAAAAUGCAGGGGAAAGAGAGUAGAGAAAUGAGUUCUAAGAGAGCAAAUAACAUACAGCAUUCUAGAGAAAUGGAACAGAUGUAAAAGAAACAACAAAACAAGAGCUGAAGAGCUGGGGCUGCUCAUCCUGGAGAAGAGAAGGUUGUGUGGAGACCUCCCAGCACCUUCCAGGGUCUGGAGGGGCUGCAGGGAAGUUGGAAAGGGACAACUCAUCAGGGACUGGAGUGACAGGACAAGGGGGAGUGACUUCAAACUGAAAGAGGGGAAUUUUCGGUUAGGGAUAUGAAGAAUUGGUUCCCUGGGAGGGUGGGGAAAGGCUGGGAUAGAAUUCCCAGAGCAGCUGUGGCUGCUCCUGGAUCCCUGGCAGUGCCCCAGGCCAGGUUGGACAUUGGAGCAGCCUGGGACAGUGGAAGGUGUCCCUGCCCAUGGCACAGGUGGCACUGCAUGGUUUUUAAUGUCCCUUCUGACCCAAACUGUGAUUCUAUGGCAGUGGAGUGUGAUUAUGGGCAAUAUGUCCCAUUUUUUUCCCUUUCCAGCCUUCCUGCAUGGAGUAGAGGGGCCCAUUUGCCUCUCACUGUGUGCUCUGCACGGCUUCAUUCCCUGAUCCAACCUGCCCUUGCAGCCCUGCAGUUUUCCUCCUGGAGAGUUUCCAGCUCUGCCUGAACUCCAGGCUUCCUUCACAGCAGCCAUGGGCACUCUGACUUUUCCAGGGCUCAACUUUUGUGGUUUGGGUCCAAGUUUUGAUGGACAUGCUGUGUUGGACCAGCAGCAAUUCCAACAAUCCUCUGUAUCCCGCUGCAAAAGGGGCCUUCUUAGGUCACAAGAUCCAAGCUGGAAGAUCUUCAGGAAGAGUUCCAUCAAAAUACAGAAGGAAAGAUUCUGCUGUUGUGUCUCUCCACCAAAGCCACCACACAGCCCAGUUCCUUUGGUGCUUUGGCCCCUGUUGCUAUAGAACACGAAAUAAAACGAUGCAGAUACUGGAACUUCUAAAGUAAAAAAUGAAGUUUAAUUUCUGACUUUAACAUUUAUAGACUUUCAAAAGUGACAGGUGGAUUAGAGUGCCACCUCUCCAAUGACACUGGACAAACCAACAGUCCAUCAAAUUUCUCCUCCUCCAGAAAAGAAUGUGAAACAAUAAUUAUUUACACAAAACUGCUUGAGAAAGUUCAUUACAAGAAGCUAAACAUCAGAAGGCUUGGAAGAACUUAGAAGAACUUAGAAGAAGAGGGUGACAGGCCCCAACCCCAAGUGAAGUCCCAGCAGAAGUUCUUCUCCAUGGGUUACAUCAUCAACACUUCCCAGAGCACUGCAGCAGCUCCCAGCCAGCCUCAGUUCCACAUGAAACCAUCAUCUGGAGGGAGCAGCUUGUGUUUCGCCUGUCAAAAAGGUGCUGCUAAGGAACUAAUGUGGUCCAGCUCUUUUUAGGCCAGAGGGGUUGCCAUGGUAACCCAUUGGGAUGGAGAUAGAUCGGCUUUUGAGUCAUCAUCAGAGCCGGCUUCGAUAGUACCGGCUUGGGAUUGACAGGCAGAGCUGCACAUUGUGUAGGCUGGCACGCCUCUGGACCAGAAGGUCCUGGAAUUGCUGCUGGAUGAACAGCAAUUCUUGUUCCCCAAAAAGAAAGUGCAUCUCACUGAGCUCUCCCUGGUACUCCCUGGAAUUGUGCUCCUUGGUGUUCACACUCACGGUGAAGAUCGCACUCCUGAGUAUGAAAAGUUUCUCUUCUGGUGUAAAACAUCAAGCAGGAAUUUCUGGACAUCAGGAGGAAUUUUUCUUUCUCAUGGAAAUGAGUGUUAAGUAUUGGAAGAGGCUGCUCAUGGAGGUUUGGAGUGGCCAUCCCUGGAGGUGUCCAAGGAACACCUGGAGGUGGCACUCUGUGCUCUGGGCUGGGGACAAGGUGGGCAUCGAGCACAGCUGGACUUGAUGAUCUUGGAGAUCUUUUCCAAGCUCAGUGAUUCUGUGAAAAUCCUUCCCCAAAACCAUGGAGUUUUCUGGGGAUGAAGUCUCCAGGAAAAAGGCUGUGUUAGUUAUCCUAGGGAAAGUGCAUUCUUGGAAGUUGUAUCCCAGAAGUCCUCCUAAGACCACUUUCCAUGACAAAUACAUUUGUGGGAGUGCAGAAUGAUUCCUGUUAAAGUCAGGAAUUCUGAAGAAUUGUGAUUCUUUAAAACUUUUGUAAAUCAAGUGCUACAAUGUCAAGUAUUUCGCAUCUGGGAGCUUCUCCACAUGCUCAAUUUCCAACUUUUAGAGGAAUCUGGUUUCCCUGCAUUAGAAAACAUGGAAAACAAAACAAAACAAAAGGUUGAUUUAAUCAUAAAGUUCCCCUCACAUCCAAAAGGACCAGCACAAUCCAUGGGUCUUUAAAGCUCUUUGGUUCUGCUGACUGUAACAUCAUUGGAUCUACACCUGUUCAAUGCACAGCUUUUGCUUCUAUGUCAGAAUUCCUGGAAGAGUCAAAAUGUCCUCAAUUCCAUUAAAAUUCCAUUCCUCUUUCACUGGCCCCUUCCCUUUUCCACACCAAUUCCCUGCUCCCUUGUGCAGCAGGCUUGGUGUCCUUGGUGGCCAAAAUGAAAACUCAGUUCUUGCUGUCAGGAGAAAAUUCCUUGUGCAGCUUCCACAGGGAUUUUGUUCUUGAAAUUCCAGACCAUGAUGUUUGUUAUAUCCUGAAACAAAUCCAUUCAAGAAAGUUCUUAGAAAUAUGUUCUACUUGGUGUCCACUUGAUCAACCUCCUGCUAGCAAAGAAAAAGAAAUUGUGAUGAAUUUUAAAUAAAAUUUUUCUAAAUUUGUCACUUAUGGAGUUUCACUAGGCUAAGAAGUCAUUCUUCAGUAGAAGCAGGAACGCUUUGUUGUCUGUUCUUUUUUCCCUCCAAGAUCCUCUCUCCCAUCCCAGUUCAAAGAAAGAUGGAGAGAGACUUUUUACAAGAGCAUGGAGUGAUGGGACAAGGAGAAAUGGCCUUAAGCUGAAAAAGAGUAAAUUUAAAUUAGAGAUUACAACAAAAUUCUUUGCUAUGAGGGUGGUGAGGCCCUGGCACACGGUACCCAGGGAAGUCCAGUGCUCAGUCACUGCACAGGAAAGUUCCUCCUGAUGGUCACAUGAAACUUCCCAUAACAGUUCAGCUUUUCCCAAAGAGGGAGAUGGUUUAGUGAUUAACCAGGAUCAAUCCUCCCCCAGCCACCAGCUUCCAGAACUUCUCUGAAUCUCUUUAUUCACCACCUCUGCCCAAGGUGGGUCUGUCAGAGGUGCCUGAGCACUGGGGGAAUAAAAACCCAUUGCAAGAGCUGAGGGUCUGAUCAAGGGCUGAUCCCCUCAGAAUUAUGAACCAGAAUAAAAAAAUUGUAUUUUCUGCUGUGGACAUAAAGCAGAGGAGCUGUGUGUUCCUCACCUCCCUCUGAGGUGCAUUCCAGCUCCUGGGUGUCCCCACUGCCAGGCCCUGGAGCUGCUCUGUGGCAUCACCAAUGCAGGUGAUUGCUCUGUGGGCCAGCACUCCUGUUUUGUAGGGUUCUGUUUUUGGGGCCUGCAUUUCCCCUUUGUGAGCUAUUCCAGGCAGCUGGCAAGGCAAGCUCGGUGCUGACCUUCUGCUGAGAUCCCUGCUGGAAUUCCAGAGGGACCAGCCAGGCCUGCAGGGCCCAGUCCUGCCAGGAUGGAGCUCCCAAAAUAACUGCUGGGCAGGGCUGUGCUCCAGGGCAGGGAGAUCCCUGGAGCAUUCCCAGGGCAGCUCCCCCAGGCUGGUGAGACUCAGGAGAGGGCACAACACCACGGGCACCUGAAAAACACUGUGGGCACCAGCCUGAAAUGCUGUGGGAGGGACAAUGGCUCACAAACCCUCUGGGGCUGGAGCCAGCCCACGCUGCCAUGGGUAAAUCAGGCCCAGUUCCCUCUCAGGUGUAAAGGGGGAGAGGAGUCCAGAAAACCUCACAGUUCUCCACCCCCAUCCUUCUAAAGAAGCUUCAGAGCUCCCUGUUCCCACUGUCACCGUCAGGGACUGCCAGCUGCAGAACUGCCAGGAAAUCUGUCAGGUUUGAAAUUGUCCAGUGGCCUUGGUAAAGUUGGCAAAUCUGUGGAGCUGGAGAAGAUUUCACUGAGCAGCAGCUGCAGGAAACUCUGAGGCAGGGGUUGCACCAAGCCACUUCUUUCCUUUCUGGAGAAUAAAAUUACCAUAACUCCAGGUUUGCCAAGCUUUAACUGCUUGGAAGAAGUUUCCUGUCCUGGGUGUUGCUUCAAGCUGAUUUUUUUAUUCUUUAAACCUCCCCUAGCUUUUUUUUUUUUUUUUCCCUUCUGUUUUAAGUGGAAGGAACAAGGAGAAUUUGGGUUUUUUUUUUUUUGGAAGGGUAAUAUUUUGGUCAGGGAAAUUUAUAAGCAACUUCAAGUUUCAAAGGCUGAAAACAGCAGCUAAAAAAUAUUUCUUGCUUAAAUUGUCACAAGAAAGAACUUUUUGUUGUCUUUUUUAUGUUGCUUUUCAAGGCAGUGAAAAUGAUAUGUAAUAAAUUAUAAUAAAUGUGCCAA